UCUCUGGUGGUCAAGUGGUUAAGACUCUGCACUCCUACUGUAUGGGACAUGGGUUCAAUCCCUGGUCAGGGAA
rnacentral:tRNA from 1 species